rnacentral:rRNA from 1 species
CCUACGUGGCGCAGCAGUGGGGAAUAUUGCGCAAUGGGCGAAAGCCUGACGCAGCGACGCCGCGUGAGGGAUGAAGGUCUUCGGAUCGUAAACCUCUGUCAGCAGGGAAGAACGGUCACUGUGCUAAUCAGCAGUGAAUUGACGGUACCUGCAAAGGAAGCACCGGCUAACUCCGUGCCAGCAGCCGCGGUAAUACGGAGGGUGCGAGCGUUAAUCGGAAUUACUGGGCGUAAAGCGCUCGUAGGCGGUAUGUCAAGUCAAGGGUGAAAUCCCCGCGCUCAACGUGGGAACUGCCUGUGAAACUGGCAAACUGGAGUGUGGGAGAGGAUAGUGGAAUUCCAGGUGUAGGAGUGAAAUCCGUAGAUAUCUGGAGGAACACCAGUGGCGAAGGCGACUAUCUGGCACAUAACUGACGCUGAGGAGCGAAAGUGUGGGUAGCAAACAGGAUUAGAUACCCGAGUAGUC